rnacentral:rRNA from 1 species
AUUGAACGCUGGCGGCAGGCCUAACACAUGCAAGUCGAACGAGGGGCGGACGGGUGAGUAAUGUCUGGGAAACUGCCUGAUGGCGGGGGAUAACUACUGGAACCGGUAGCUAAUACCGCAUACCAUCAGAUGUUCCCAGAUGGGAUUCGCUAGUAGGUGGGGGAACGGCUCACCAAGGCAACGAUCCCUAGCUGGUCUGAGAGGAUGACCGGCAACACGGGAACUGAGACAAGGUCCAGACUCCUACGGGAGGCAGCAGUGGGGAAUAUUGCGCAAUGGGCGAAAGCCUGAUGCAGCAAUGCCGCGUGUGUGAAGAAGGCCUUCGGGUUGUAAAGCACUUUCAGCGGGGAGGCGUUACCCGCAGAAGAAGCACCGGCUAACUCCGUGCCAGCAGCCGCGGUAAUAC